rnacentral:rRNA from 1 species
AACGAACGCUGGCGGCAGGCCUAACACAUGCAAGUCGAGCGAGGACUUCGGUUCUAGCGGCGGACGGGUGAGUAACGCGUGGGAAUGUGCCCUUCUCUACGGAAUAGCUCUGGGAAACUGGGAGUAAUACCGUAUACGCCCUAUUGGGGAAAGAUUUAUCGGAGAAGGAUCAGCCCUCGUUGGAUUAGGUAGUUGGUGGGGUAAUGGCCUACCAAGCCGACGAUCCAUAGCUGGUUUGAGAGGAUGAUCAGCCACACUGGGACUGAGACACGGCCCAGACUCCUACGGGAGGGAGCAGUGGGGAAUCUUAGACAAUGGGGGCAACCCUGAUCUAGCCAUGCCGCGUGAGUGAUGAAGGCCUUAGGGAUGUAAAGCUCUUUCAGCUGGGAAGAUAAUGACGGUACCAGCAGAAGAAGCCCCGGCUAACUCCGUG